GAUGAACGCUGGCGGCGUGCCUAAUACAUGCCAGUCGAGCGAACGGACGAGAAGCUUGCUUCUCUGAUGUUAGCGGCGGACGGGUGAGUAACACGUGGAUAACCUACCUAUAAGACUGGGAUAACUUCGGGAAACCGGAGCUAAUACCGGAUAAUAUUUUGAACCGCAUGGUUCAAAAGUGAAAGACGGUCUUGCUGUCACUUAUAGAUGGAUCCGCGCUGCAUUAGCUAGUUGGUAAGGUAACGGCUUACCAAGGCAACGAUGCAUAGCCGACCUGAGAGGGUGAUCGGCCACACUGGAACUGCGACACGGUCCAGACUCCUACGGGAGGCAGCAGUAGGGAAUCUUCCGCAAUGGGCGAAAGCCUGACGGAGCAACGCCGCGUGAGUGAUGAAGGUCUUCGGAUCGUAAAACUCUGUUAUUAGGGAAGACCAUAUGUGUAAGUAACUGUGCACAUCUUGACGGUACCUAAUCAGAAAGCCACGGCUAACUACGUG
rnacentral:rRNA from 1 species